rnacentral:rRNA from 1 species
AACCCUUGCCUUUAGUUGCCAGCAGUUCGGCUGGGCACUCUAAAGGGACUGCCGGUGUUAAACCGGAGGAAGUGGGGAUGACGUCAAGUCCUCAUGGCCUUUAUGACCAGGGCUACACACGUACUACAAUGGCCGAUACAAAGGGCAGCGACACUGGCGAGGUGAAGCCAAUCCCGUAAAAUCGGUCUCAGUCCGGAUUGGAGUCUGCAACUCGACUCCAUGAAGUUGGAAUCGCUAGUAAUCGUGGAUCAGCAUGCCACGGUGAAUACGUUCCCGGGCCUU